rnacentral:rRNA from 1 species
UGCGUAGGCGGGGCAAUUAGUCAGUGGUGAAAUCCUGCGGCUUAACCGUAGAACUGCCAUUGAUACUGUUGCCCUUGAGUAUAGUUGAGGUGGGCGGAAUGUGUAAUGUAGCGGUGAAAUGCAUAGAGAUUACACAGAACACCAAUUGCGAAGACAGCUCACUAAGCUAUAACUGACGCUGAGGCACGAAAGCGUGGGGAGCGAACAGGAUUAGAUACCCUGGUAGUCC